UCUCUCUUCUAGGUUGUUCUAUGCUGGAGCUCGAGAGGGUCAACUCCCUGCUGCUCUGGGUUUGGUCCACACAGACCUCUUCACACCAGUGCCGUCCCUCAUCUUCACAUGUUUGCUGUCCAUGAUGUACGCCAUCUCCCAGGACAUCUUCUCUGUCAUCAAUCUCUUCAGCUUCUUCACCUGGCUGUGUGUUGGUAUGGCCAUUGCUGGCAUGCUCUGGCUGCGCUUUACCAAAGCCCGACCUCAGAAGGCCAAUUAAGGUGUAUCUGUUCAUCCCUGUGACUUUCGUUUUGGGCUGUGUCUUCAUGAUCGUUGUGUCGUUCUGGGCUGCUCCAUUUGAGUGCCUGUUAGGCAGCGGCAUUAUUCUUACAGGCAUCCCAGGCGUACCUACUGGGCUACAAGUGGAAAAAACCCCAUGUGAUCAAGAAGAUGCUGGAAAUCUUCACCAUGUUCUGUCAGAAGAUCUUCAUGUCUGUUCCUGAGGAGAGGGAGCAGCGAGGAGGAUGAAUAAUGCUGGACAGACUGAACAAGAUGGACUGUCAAUAUCUUCGCCUGAACAUUCUUAAUAUGUUUAUAUUAAUUCACUUGUGAUUUGGCUAAAGCA